rnacentral:lncRNA from 1 species
GUUAGUAACCCGGUAAAUUACGGCGCUGUCGUUUAUUAGAUGCUAUUCGUUAGAAGAAAGACAACUCGGUUGGGAUUGUACGAACGCUCACGGAAGUAAUAAAGAACUGUAUAUUUAUACUUUUAAUGAUUUUUUCUCAAUUAUGAAUGGAUAUUUUGGAUAAAAUACACCCACUAAACUGGAAAAUGGUCGUCCAUAUGCACUGCAAACAGAUUAGUGUGAUAUAAAGGACUGUCUUUUUUUCAACUUCGUGAUGCAAUUCGGAUAGGUACCCAAAGUCGGAUUCCCUGAGAAUGCCUCAUUACCAGAGUUAUUGUGUUGAACAGUCGUCCUUGAUCAUUAGUCGAUGGAUAGUGGGUCACAAAAAAUGGAUAUAAACGACUGAAUCUGGUAAAACUAUCAGGUGACAAACAUGACCAAGUGACUGCCAAGCUUUGAAAAUACCUCCUUUUUAAAUUCAGCAAUUAACGUUCAAGUAACAGGAUAACACCUGACUGCCGUAUGUCUUAGUUAAAAGAAGCAGAAGAAAAUGGUUUAAUUUGUAAAUGCUAAUGAUGUAAAAACUAUACUCAAUAGACAGACCUGGUGACGGUAAUGCAGGUUCAGGAAGUUGUUCAUACAGUUCAAUAUAAACCUCUUGAGGGAAUCAUUUGAGGAGACUAACCGUCCAGUGUGUUGGUUUAUAACAUGUUUAAACACAGAUAUUGGUACACUCAGAAUCAACGUGGAAACUGUUGGUGAGAUGUGUACAUCAUUCAGCUUUGUAAUCCUGGAACUCAUGAAGUGCAAUGUUCAAAUAGCACUCAGUUCAAUGUUUGAAGAACCUUCAAUGGUAUUUCUGUUUUGCUUGAACAGAACAGUACCGACUCCCAUUACAGUUGUAGAAUUAAGUGACGGGGAAGGCACUGUAGCUCAGCCUAAUUAUUAAUUGUACAAGAAUGUAGCCUGUACAUAUACAUGUUGUAUCAAGAGGAAGUGAAAUUAUUUAUAUGCAUGUCCAGAAGUGACUAGCUGUGUACAUGGAUGUCUUUGUAGAAAAAUCAUUAUUGUUAAGUUUUAAACCUUUGCUUUAGUUGCUAUAAAAUUUUAUUGUAAAACUGAUGAAAUAACCCGCAUCUUUUAAUAUUCUUAAGGAUCACUUAUUCUUAUGAUGGAUUAUUUCUAUUGCAAUGUACUGCUAACUCACAUUGUUGUCACUGUUAUGAUAUGUCACUUAAGGUAUUUCUGCACGUUUGAAAAACCGGAAGUGAUUGCAUAACGUCACUUAUCUGGAAAACGUAGAAUAAUGCCCGGAUUCGGCGUACGGAAACAAAAAUCAGUUUAUGAAUUAAGGACAACCUG